CCCUUAGAUGUCCUGGGUCGCACGCGUGCUACACUGACGCAUACAGCGAGCACUUUCCAGUUCCGAGAGGCUACUGGUAAUCAUCAAUAUGCGUCGUGAUGGGGAUAGAUCUUUGGAAUUCUGGAUCUUGAACGAGGAAUGCCUAGUAAUCGCAGGUCAUUAGCCUGCGAUGAUUAAGUCCCUGCCCUUUGUACACACCGCCCGUCGCUACUACCGAUUUCGAGUGGUCAGGUGAAUCUUUCGGACUGUGGGCGCCCUUGAGGUGUUCGCGGAAAGUCAGGUAAAUCUUAUCACUUAGAGGAAGUAAAAGUCGUAACA
rnacentral:rRNA from 1 species